AUGAGUCACGUGGUAAUGUUACCUACAGAGGACGCUUUACAAGAGGUUGUGGUUAGCUCGGAAUCACAUCACGAUCUAAACAAUGUCACAAAUCCCGCCCCCGCCCCAUCUUCAGAAGAACAGUCUCACAAGCUCCCAGACUGCUCAAGUGUUCACAUCCCAGGUACGUCCAGGCCCCAACACUCAGAGGGUCAGGGUGUAAAACGUUUGAGGUUACUGGAGCAGGAAACGGAUGAUGUUCCGACCACAAGCCAUUUAAGGACUUCAGAGAAUAAUGAACAAGGGUACGACGAAGGCAGCCUAACAGCGUGGACUGAUUCGAUGAUACAGGCGUGGGAUCAAGUGUCCUUCAGUGCUUCGGAAAGCGAGGAAGAGGAGGAAUUACCUCAUGAAAUUCCUCAGGAAUUGUUCCGUGAGCGUGAUUUAAACAGGAGGCUCGAUUAUGAAAUGCUGCGCUGUGUUAAUCAGAACUUUGAGAUACUUUUCGACUUGAGCGGACAAACGUUAUCUUAUCGGGAAGCAGAAGACAUCGUUGCUAGCGCACAAAGUGAUGUGGUAUCGAUUUUAAGAAAUAUCAUAGCGUGUCAGCAACAACACAACGAAUCCUUACGUCACGCUGCUGAAUUUUGGAGAAGCUGUCACGAACAGCUGUAUGGUAAAUUCCGACAGUUUCAGCAGAGCAUGAGCGGGAUGCCGGCGGAAAUCCAUCAGGUACAAGUCGAGCAAAAUCUUUCUGUUAACGCCCUUAUGGUGAUCACAGAAUGUUUAAAUCUUAUUCAAAGAAUGUUAACAGAUUUGUUCAAUCGUAUGAUGAGAGGUUGUCCGUGAUAUGUAUUGAAUUGUUGUUUGUUUUUGUUUUGUUAUUGACAUCAAUUCGUUAAUAUCAUUGGGUAUUUCUUACAUUUAUUAUUGUUUGUUAUUGCCAACGAAUCAUUAUCAUUAUUUAUUCCUUACAUUAUUGUAUGUUAUUGUCCCCAACAUUUGGUGUUGUUUUACUUGUGGAGAAACGGUGGUUUUGAAUUUAUACUGUAC
ensembl:lncRNA